GUAGGUGGCAAGCGUUGUCCGGAUUUACUGGGCGUAAAGGAUGCGUAGGCGGAUAUUUAAGUGAGAUGUGAAAUUCCCGGGCUUAACUUGGGAGCUGCAUUUCAAACUGGAUAUCUAGAGUGCGGGAGAGGAGAAUGGAAUUCCUAGUGUAGCGGUGAAAUGCGUAGAGAUUAGGAAGAACACCAGUGGCGAAGGCGAUUCUCUGGACCGUAACUGACGCUGAGGCAUGAAAGCGUGGGGUAGCAAACAGGAUUAGAUACCCUGGUAGUCCACGCCGUAAACGAUGAGUACUAGGUGUAGGAGAGUCCAACCCUUCUGUGCCGCAGUUAACACAAUAAGUACUCCGCCUGGAAGUACGAUCGCAAGAUUA
rnacentral:rRNA from 1 species